rnacentral:rRNA from 2 species
UCUGGUGAUUAUGGCUUGAAGGUAACACCCGUUCCCAUGCCGAACACGAAGGUUAAGCUUCAAAGCGCUGAUGGUACUGCAGGG